rnacentral:rRNA from 1 species
GACGAACGCUGGCGGCGUGCUUAACACAUGCAAGUCGAACGGAAAGGCCCUGCUUUUGUGGGGUGCUCGAGUGGCGAACGGGUGAGUAACACGUGAGUAACCCGCCCUUGACUUUGGGAUAACUUCAGGAAAAUGGGGCUAAUACCGGAUAGGAGCUCCUGCUGCAUGGUGGGGGUUGGAAAGCUUCGGCGGUUGGGGAUGGACUCGCGGCUUAUCAGCUUGUUGGUGGGGUAGUGGCUUACCAAGGCUUUGAAGGGUAGCCGGCCUGGGAGGGUGACCGGCCACAUUGGGACUGAGGUAGGGCCCAGACUCCAACGGGAGGCAGAAGUGGGGAAUAUUGCACAAUGGGCGGAAGCCUGAUGCAGCAGCGCCGCGUGCGGGAUGACGGCCUUCGGGUUGUAAACCGCUUUCGCCUGUGACGAAGCGUGAGUGACGGUAAUGGGUAAAGAAGCACCGGCUAACUACGUG